GAUGAAGAACGCAGUGAAAUGCGAUAAGUAGUGUGAAUUGCAGAAUUCAGUGAAUCAUCGAAUCUUUGAACGCACAUUGCGCCCCUCGGUAUUCCGUGGGGCAUGCCUGUUCGAGCGUCAUUUACCCCUCAAGCACUGCUUGGUGUUGGGCGUCUGUCCCGCUUCGCGCGCGGACUCGCCCCAAAGGUAUUGGCAGCGGUCGUGCCAGCUUCUCGCGCAGCACAUUGCGCUUCUCGAGGCGGUCGAUCGGCGUCCACGAAGCUCACCUCCACCGUUUGACCUCGGAUCAGGUAGGGAUACCCGCUGAACUUAAGCAUAUCAAUAAGCGAGGA
rnacentral:misc_RNA from 1 species